UCGCCUGUUUAACAAAAACAUGUCUUUUUGAUUUUUUUUUAAAGUUUAACCUGCCCAGUGAAUUAUUUUUUUAACGGCCGCAGUAUACUGACUGUGCAAAGGUAGCAUAAUCAAUAGUCUUUUAAUUGAAGGCUUGAAUGAAUGGUUGGACGAGAUAUUAACUGUUUCAUUUAAAUUUAUAAUAAAAUUUUAUUUUUUAGUUAAAAAGCUAAAAUAAAUUUAAAAGACGAGAAGACCCUAUAAAUCUUUAUAUUUAAUUUAUUAUAAAUUUUUAGAUUAUUUUUUUUAUAAUAAUUAUAAUAUUUUAUUGGGGUGAUAUUAAAAUUUAAUAAACUUUUAAUUUUAUUUUACAUUAAUUUAUGAUUUAUUGAUCCAUUAUUAUUGAUUAAAAAUUUAAGUUACUUUAGGGAUAACAGCGUAAUUUUUUUUGAGAGUUCUUAUCGAUAAAAAAUAUUGCGACCUCGAUGUUGGAUUAAGAUAUAAUUUUAGGUGUAGUUGCUUAAAUUUUAAGUCUGUUCGACUUUUAAAUUCUUACAUG
rnacentral:rRNA from 1 species